AACAAGGAUUUCAGAAACAAAUACCUUUUGCUUUAAGUGUUUUUCUUGUGGUCUUUUUACCACUGAAAAUUUUGUUAUUUUUUAAACACUUUUUCCCCCCUCCAUGGUUAUUAUCCUCUCUUUUAUUUUUUAAAAUUUUUUAAUUAAUUAAUUUUUUAAAUUUAGUUAUUUUUCAAGUACAGUUUUUUGUCUAUUUCUCCCAUCCAAGCCCACCCCCGUCCCACGCUCCCCACCUCUCCCCCCUCCCCACCCCACAGCCCUCAUCCCUGCAUCCCUUACACUUCUUCCCCCAAAUCCCUCCCCCCUUCCCCCUUAAAGGAAUUUAAACACUUUUUUAAAGAUUUUAUUUAUUUUUAAAAAUUAAAAUUUUUUCGAGAGGAGAGGAGGGAGAAAGUGAAGGAAAGAAAUAUCAAUGUGUGAGAGAAAUAUCAAAUGAUUGCCUCUUGCAGACCCUCAACAGGGGGCCUGACCUGGCCCACAACCCAGGCGUGUGGCCUGGCGGGGAACUGAACCAGCAACCUUUUGGUUCUCAGGCCAGUGCUCAAUCCACUGAGCCACACCAGCCAGAGCACCACUGAACACUUUUGAAGAUUAAAGAUUGACUUACCUAUGAGUUAUUUUCAAAAUCUUUGACAUCAUGAUAUUUUUAAAAUAAACUGAAAGGCAAUAUGUUGGUAUUGAAAAUAUGGUAAAUACAUGAUCUAUGAUUAGUGAUUAGUUUAUAAUAUUUAAUUUGAAUUGGUAUGUAAAGAGAUUAUAGAUGAACAAAAAGGGACUAUAGGAAAAAAAUCUAGUAUUACACAUGCAAUUUGAAACUGUGGAAGUGUCGCCAGUUCAAUUCUCAGGGCACAUGCCUGGGUUGCAGGCCCAGUCCCCAGUAUGGGUUGCAUGAGAGGCAACCACACAUUGAUGUUUCUCUCCUCUCUGUCUCCUCUUCACCUCUCUCUGAAAAUGAAUAAGUAAAAUCUUAAAAAAAAGUAAUUAUGGAAAUGGAGACCAGAGAGAAUAAGGGGCAAAUUGGAGACAGGUUUUGUGGUUUGAAUGAGCUCUUUUGACUUGUCAAAGACUUAAAUUCAACUCUGACAUUUAUUAAACAUUUGCAGGGUAUCUACUGUGUGUCAAGUAUGAUAUUAAGUUCUAGGACUACAAAGAGAAAUCCAAUUAAAGUCGUGGCCUCAAGAAGCUAACCAUGUAAUAAAAGACCCAGCAAUUCUAUAUCCCAGGAAUUUAUCCUCAAGAUACACCAGCAUGAAUUUGCAAAGACAUAUGGACCACCACCUGGUGGCCCAUGGAGAAUGGCCCGUGUCGUAAGGAGAGACCUACCAGCAACAUGGGAGUGAACUGAGACCUUUGGCCUCAAUUGAACUGAGAUGACUGAAGCCUCAGCCCACAGCUUAACUGCAACCUCAUACAUUUCUGAAUUCCUUACACACAGAAACUAACAUGAUAAAUGUUGAUUUUAGUCGCUAAGUUUUGGGUUAUUUUGUUCUGCAAUAAGAGGUAACUAAUAUGUUGUGAUUAUAACCUAACAAAAGUACAUGACGGCUGCCCACAUCCGAUGACUAGUCCAUGUCCAAGUAUUCAGGCCAUCUAGACUUAAUGGGGGACCAUUCUGAGGCUGUCACUGAGUGCAUUGCAGCCCAACUUUCCCCUCUGCCCAUUCCUGCUUCCUUCCCCUCCUUUUAGGUAGUGACCCCUGGGGAACUCCUUAAUAAAUAUUCUGAACUUUAAACUCUGCUGAGUCUGUUACCUGGGAACUCUAAUCUGUGACAGCCAACUGCAGUGUCUAUGGAUCCGAGGU